UAAAACCAGAGGGCUGUAGAGAACCUGAGCGUCACAGUCAAGCUGUCUCCUACUGGUGCGACCACCAGGGCAGAGAGAGGGAGAGUGGGCUGCCUGGUGUCACACAGGCUGGGGGGGGACUCGGCCAGGCCUAGGUCUCAGGCCCCCUGCCACCCCCUCAGAUUAGAGUGACGAGAGAACUAAGCCAGCCUGGAACCCCACGCGCUCACUCCCCAUCUCAAGAGCUGAGCCAUUUGAAGCCUCUUGCUGGGUGCUGGGUCAGGUGGGGGUAACCGGUAAGAGCCCUAAGUGCGGUCACUGUCCUGGGGCCAUUACCUCUCACCCCCUAGACUAGUCCUAGGAACCGUGUUCUUUAUUUUGCAGGUGAGGCAACUGUGGCUCAGAGAGGUUAAGUCACUUGCCCAAAGUAACAAAGCUAGAAAGCAGUGGAGCUGUGAUCUGUACCCAGGCCAGCCGGACACCAAGCCUCAGCCCUCCCAGCGUGCUGGGCUCGGGGAAGGUGAUGUGGGACAGUUGAGGCAGGAGUUGUCGUACAAGGUUAGGAGGAACUUUGGGAACUCUAGCAAGGAAGGGAGAAUAUUGCGUCUUUGAGGCAAAGCUUCCUCUUAGUCACAGAGGUAUGGCCACCAGGCCCUCAGGCGGUCCCUUCAUCUUGCUGGGCAGGGCCCUGAAAAGCCUGCUCCUUUCUGCUCAAACUGUACAAACAGAGUCUCGGGGCAGGAAGACCCAGUUUGUAAAACAGAAAGCUUCUCAGAGAUGGGGCUCCAGAGGAAGGUCCGAGGGAUUGCCCCUGGGUUUGUCAGGGGGAGGCGAAGGAGUUCGGGGCAGCUGGCGACAAGAUGCCAGCCUGGGGCGUCCAGGGGGCCCUGGCCAGCGUGAGGCUCAAGGAACGGGUGGGCUGGGGCCGGAGUCCAGCGGGGCCUUGGGCCGGGGCCAGAAGCCGAUCGUGCUAAACAAAGCAUUACACAACCGGCUCAGUAACUGCUUCAGUCGAGUGGGUCAAACUAAUUCCUUCCAGCUCGGGAGCUCUACUUGGGGGCGGCGGGAGCGGGCAGGCCCCUGAGUUCCGGGACCCUGUGUCCAUGUGGGUUUAAUUAGUUCCAUGGUCACUGCCCCCCUCGGGUACAGCCUUGCAUGCCAGGCCCCCGGCAGCGGCCUGGUGCCCUUAGAGGAACCAGGAAAAGAGGAGGGUCCCUCAGGGCAGUGGGCCAGCGUGCAGGCAGGACUGGACUGCUCGCCCAGGGCAGCCACGGCCGGGAGUCUGGGGCCGGCAGAGCGGUGACACAGAUCCGAAGACUCGAGCGGGAGCUGUGUGGUGGGCCCGGGUCAGGACCAGGAGAGGCUGCGCGUGGGAAAAGGAGGCCAGCAACUUUCAGGGAGUGAGGCAAGUCAAGCCAGAGUGUAAGGGACACAAGGGUGUGUUUGGCCAAAUUUGGGGCUCUGCCAGCAUCACAGACGACGGAACAGAGGCUCCCGGCAGGACUGAACUGUGGCGGGCAGUCGGGACUGGAGGCCUCUGGGAAAAGUCACAGAGCUCGGAGAAUCCCAGUACCGGCUCCGCAGCAUUAGUAAAAAUGCAGAUUCCCUGGCCCCACCUGAGGCCUACAGAAUGAGAAAUUCUGAGGGUGGGACCCAGCGAUCCGUGUUUCACACAGACCAGCAGGUGACGCUGACGUGCGAUAACGUUGGAGAACCGACGGACGAUUCACAGUGUGGGCCACAGACCAGCAACGUCAGACCGCCCGAGAGCUUGUUGGAAAUGCAGGAUCCCAGGCCUGGCCCCAGACCUACUGAAUCAGACCCUGCAGUUUGACAAGACCUCAGGGCGUUUGCAUGUGCCUUCUGGCCGGACAAGGCCCGCCCCUGAGCUCCGGCCCUGGGCUUCCUUGGUCUGAGCGUGACUGGGUCUGAGAGACAGGAACACGAGGAUGAACGAGAAGGAGACCAUGCCUCUCCAGACGCAGGCGAGAGCUGUCCUCGGAUCUUCAUGAAUCCAGUUCACUCCCAGAAAGGGUCACCAAAAAAAACCCUACCACCACCACCACCACCACCACCACCACCAACCGAAAACCCUGAUGGCUUCUGAGCCUGCAAAGAUGCCCAAUGCAGACGCUGUGCAGAAAGCAGGUCGCAGUGGAAAAAGUAAGACUAGAAGCGGGUGGCUCUCCAAAGUCAGCUGAGGGGAAGGAAGAGGCCGCCAUCGACGCCAGGCUCUCCGGCCGGCGUUACACCUUUGCUACUCAGAGAACGGGACCAGCCGCCUCAGCAUCAUUUGAGAGCUUGCUGUGCAGAAAUCUCUGGCUUCACCCAGAUUUACAAACUCAGACCCUGCAUCUUAACAAGGCCUGCAGGAUUGGUACGCACACCACGGGCUGCGGGUUCCCCCUCACGUGAGGAACACAGCUGAUUUGACUCGGAGGCCCUUCUUGGGUCCUUUCCGGGAAGCAGGGUGUGAGGACCCCGGUGGCAGUCACCAGCUUCUACCGCGACACAAGAGAGCGAGAGAGAGAGAGUGAGGAGAGAGAGAUGAGAGAGAGAGAUGAGAGAGAGAUGAGAGAGAGAGGAAGGGAAGUGUGUGCCCUCGCGAUGGCCGUCUUCACGGACGGGUUGGCCCUGUCUUCCCAAGGUGAAGUACCAUCCGCGCUUUCUCUGCAGACUCCGGAGAACGGUCCCGCAGGCGCCCCUGGACUACAGUGGCAAGAAGGUACUUCUGAGUUUCUGUCUCCCUGGGGCCCAGCAACCUCUCGUGGGUGACGGUAAUCCUGCCCACUUCCUCGUGGGCGUGCGUUUAGGACCAUCAGGGUGGGAAGCAGUUUGCCGGCUCAGAGCGCGACAGCGUAGGAUGCGAUCCUCGCGUCACCUAGGCCAGGUGCCUGAUGGCCUCCGCCCUGCGAGGUCACCUCAUGUCGCCCCUCGCUGGGAGGCCCCAUCGGGGUCCCCCCUGCCACCGCCAUGUUUUCUGCUCCCUCUACUCCCACACUAACCUGAGGGCCUCAUGGGCCUGCCGUCCUGCCUUGCGAUACAAGUACCCGCAUACGGUUCUGCCCUUUCUAAUAGGACACGGUACUUCCCAGGCCUUAUGUCCCUCGUGGGCACUGAAUCACAGCCUGGUUCUAAAGGGACCUGAGAGGGCAGGGUUACCUGUGUUUAAGUGUUCAGGGUCACCAGGGCUUAGGCCCAACUCCACGAUUUAUUAGCUACGUGGUUCUGCGUGAGCCGCUUAACUGUGACUCUGUUUCCCCGUUUGCAAAGCGGGGAUAACAGUAGUCCCUAACUGACAGGAUCCCUGGGAAUAGUAAAUAAAAACAUGUUAAAUAUUUUGUACCAGCAUCUACAUUAGCUGAUAUACAUUAACUGUUAUUAAACCGUAUUUCAAACCUGCUAAGAUA